rnacentral:piRNA from 1 species
UGCAUCUGACUGUUUCAGCUGCUUGUUGG